CAUAUGAGAACUUCUGCCAGCCUGUCAGGAUACCAUGUAACCACACAUGCACUUGAGCCAACCUCUUCCAGGAAGCCAGAGGCUCAUGCCCUCUGUCGUCCUGCCAUAAUAUGAAUGGGCAGGUGAGGAAGUUCUGUGACCCAGAAAGGAGAAGACACCUCUCUCAUCUUUAUCCUCUCCUUCUUAGUUUUGGUCCAGGAUACCCAAGAUACAAUUACUUCCCUUACCUUCUCCCACUUCCCUGCUCAGGAGACUGAGUUGUCUGUUUCUUGAGGGUAAAGAAUUCCUUGCUUAGGGGGAAGAGGAAAGGUCUAAGGUCUGGGAGGCAGUCAUUGAAAUGGCACCCAUUGUGAAGACUUAAUCAUUCCUUCCCAAAGAGAUAUGAAUCAUUCCUCUUUGGCUCAUUAAGGAUGUCAAAUCAUCUCAGGUCAGUAGAUUUAUUUUUAUAAGGAAAUGCUCUGAAAGUCCUUCUCAUCUCCCCCAGGAGAUGUGUGAUGAUCAAUUCUCAGGGGUAUAGGCAGGUAUCCAGGAGGCUCUGACCUUUUUGUGCAUAAUCCAGGUCCCAAACAAUGACUACCUCCCUUUGAGUGUCAAAUUGCUUAGAUUUCCCAAGUCUCCAACUGUAAGUGAAUGGGUUCUCUUUGACAGUCCAAGAUCCUGUGUCUCCAAAGUGAAGAUCCUUCCUUGAUUCCCUUUUAUUUGGGUAUGUGCUGGUCAAUGUUUAACAAUACAACUCUCUAAAUGGAGGACUUAAAAAAAAGUUUAAUCUGCAUUAACAUUAUCUCCAACACUUUCUUAAGUCUAGAUAAUCAAUAAAAGUAUAAGUCAAGCCCUGAUUUAUCGUGUU
rnacentral:lncRNA from 1 species